rnacentral:misc_RNA from 1 species
UUAAGUUCAGCGGGUAUCCCUACCUGAUCCGAGGUCAAAAGUGUUAAAUAGACUUGAUGGUUGCAAGUAAUUAUUAGCUAAAAUCGCAAAUUGUGCUGCGCUUCUAUACCAAUACACUGGCUGCCAAUUUCUUUAAGGCGAGUCCAAACGCAAGGGAGAGGACAAACACCCAACACAAGCAUAGCUUGAGGGUACAAAUG